GCAAACUUGGUCAUUUAGAGGAAGUAAAAGUCGUAACAAGGUCUCCGUUGGUGAACCAGCGGAGGGAUCAUUAUCGAGUUAUUACAAACUCCCAAACCCAUGUGAACUUACCUUUUGUUGCUUCGGCGGUGCCGUCCCGGGCGCCUAGCUGCCUUUACGGUAGUUAUGUGUCCCGGAACCAGACGCCCGCCGGAGGACCUAAACUCUUUGUUUCCUGUAGUGGUAUCUCUGAGUGUAAAAAACAAAUGAAUCAAAACUUUCAACAACGGAUCUCUUGGUUCUGGCAUCGAUGAAGAACGCAGC
rnacentral:misc_RNA from 1 species